AGUGAAGCGGGAUGAGCCCAGCACCGAAGCCGGCGGUCGAGAGGCCGUUGUGCAAUGUGGUGUUCGGGAGGGCUCUGUCCGUGUCCGGUGUCGGUCCAAGUCUCCUGGAAAGGAGUUCCGUGGAGGGUGACAGGCCCGUGCGACCGAUUGCCGCGUUCGCGGACGAGUCCUCCUUCGAGUCGGGUUGUUCGCUAAUGCAGCCCUAAGCAGGUGGUAAGCUCCAUCUAAGGCUAAAUAUAACCACGAGUCCGAUAGUCAACAAGUACAGUGAUGGAAAGUUGAAAAGUACUCUGAAGAGAGAGUCAAAUAGCCCGUGAAGCUGCCAGUAUGGGAUUAAGCGCACGUAUGACGCGUGUCGUCGGCCAAAUAGGCGACUGUUCGGUGUGCUCAUCUGCACGGCGACGUGCCAAGCGUACGUUUCUGUGUCUGGUGUUCGGCGUGCUGUGGCAGAGCGCUUCCCUUUGGUCGGCAUCGACAGGUCGGGGCUUCGUUGUCCACGGUCUUAUUGCCGGUUGUGAUUUGCAGAGCCGUGUCGAGCGGCGGCGCGGCUUCGGUCGUGUUGCCGUGUUCCGUCGAAUGUGCGCUCUCGCGGCGGCGACGGUCGGCUUGGUCUGCGAUGCAAUGCAGCCGAUGGCGAAUGACCGGACGACGGCCAGCGCAAGUGCGAAACUUUAUUGUUUCGGCUCGGCCUUUGCGUCGUUAUGUGCGGCCCGUCUUGAAACACGGACCAAGGAGUCUAACAUGUGAGCGAGCGAUUGAGAUUGUCUAAUCUCAGACGCGCAAUGAAAGUGAAGUGUCGUCUGACGGCACGAGCGAAGAUCCGUCGUCACUUGUGGCGGCGGCGCAUUCGCGGGCCGCGCUAUCGGCUGGCUUGCUUUUCGGAGCACUGCUGAGGCGCGGACCUAGAGCCCACACGUUGGGACCCGAAAGAUGGUGAACUAUGCCUGGCCAGGAUGAAGCCAGAGGAAACUCUGGUGGAGGUCCGCCGCGAUUCUGACGUGCAAAUCGAUCGUCUGAGCUGGGUAUAGGGGCGAAAGACCAAUCGAACCAUCUAGUAGCUGGUUCCGCCCGAAGUUUCCCUCAGGAUAGCUGGCGCUCGUGUGAAACGGAGUUUCAUCCGGUAAAGCGAAUGAUCAGAGGAGCUGGGCUCCUUGCGAGCUCAACCUAUUCUCAAACUUUCAAUGGGUGAGACGUCUCGCUGGCUUCACUGCAGCGACGACUCUGAAUCCGAGUGCCCAGUGGGCCACUUUUGGUAAGCAGAACUGGCGAUGCGGGAUGAACCGCAUGUCGAGUUAAGGUGCCUAAGCGAACGCAAAUCAGAUACCAUGAAAGGUGUUGAUUGCUCACGACAGCAGGACGGUGAUCAUGGAAGUCGAUAUCCGCUAAGGAGUGUGUAACAACUCACCUGCCGAAGCAAUCAGCCCUGAAAAUGGAUGGCGCUAAAGCGUCCCACCGAUACUCGACCGUCGUCGGCAUGCGAUCGACGAGCACUUGUGUUCACGAUCUGAAGCCACGACGAGUAGGGCGGCGCGGCGGUGAGCGUCGAAGGCGUAACCGUGAGGUUAGCUGGAGCCGCCGUCGGUGCAGAUCUUGGUGGUAGUAGCAAAUACACAAGCAAGAUCCUUGUGGACCGAUGUGGAGAAGGGGUUCCGCGCGAAUCAGUAUUUGGACGUGGGUGAGUCGGCCCUAAGCCAACGGGUAAUUCCCGCAUCCCGUGUUGUACGCUAGUUUCUGAAUCGAAUAACAUGGGUUGAU
rnacentral:rRNA from 1 species